AGAUCUAUCUUCCUCUGUGGUGUAUAUAGUAAGGAGAUGGCUCAUGCUCAUAGCUGUGAUGGUUCUUCUUCUUCUUCUUCUUUUUUUGGGCCACCCCUAAGCGUGUGGUGUUCCCUGGCCAAGGACGAGAUCUGAGCCACAGUUGCAAGCUACUUCACAGCUUUGGCAAUGCCAGAUCCUUAACUCACUGUGCCGGGUCAGGGAUUGGACCUAUGUCCCAGUGCUGCAGAGAUGCCACUAAUCCCCUUGUGCCACAGAAGAAACGUCAGAAGAUAUUCGUGGAGUUCCUUGAUGGUGCAGCUGAUUAAGGAUCCACUCUUGUCACUCCUGUGGCUCAGGUGAUGCCACGGCUAGCCACGGAUAUCUGUGAGGAGUAACCCAUGCGCUUCCUCGCAUCAGUGAACACUGCUCAGGGAGUGUAGAAGGAGGGCGGGGGAGCUGAGCCCACCUACCAGCUCAUCACGCAUCUUACACACUCACUCAUCCGGAUCCGCAUUUUUCUCUGCAUUUUACUAAUUUAAUCCUCACUGCAGUGUUUCGCUGUUGGGUACAUCUCCAUCACGGACUUCAGCACGGCCUACACUUCUAGGAUUUACCGGGACCGCAAGGUCCCAUGCGCCCCCUCUCCUGGGAGAUGCUCUAGGAUUUGGGAUAAAAGUCAGACCUCACCGGUUUAUACCCCUCCUCGGCCCCGAAGCCUUCUCACUCUCCCUCUUCGUGUUGGGCCCAGUGCCAGGGAGACGCAGCCCCGCUGUUCCUGGAGAGUCUGGAUCAAAACCAGGGUGGGAGUCACCUCUUCUUCUAGCAAUGACUCCCCUCCCAGGCUUAAAAGCAUCAUCUAAAUUAAGCCGGAGGGGAGGGGCCAUCUGCUACUACAUUCUGUGUGUGGUCCCCUGCUGAAGCAUUUCCAGGAUCACUGAACUCCUGGGUGACAACAGGGACAGGACACCCCUGGCUUCACCUGAGGUGCUGGUGCUCUCACACAGGUAGGUCUUUGAAUCUAAGCAGUCAGCCCGCUAACCCUCACAGCCUCCCUGUCUCAUGGGAGCAUCUAUACAAACAGGGGUCCCUCCUGACCCUCCCACUCACUCCUCAGGAUUCAACACAUCUAGCUAGGCCUCCCUACCUUGGAUCCUCUGAAAUAGCAGAAUAAAUAUAAAAACACAUACUUAGAAGCCUGGAAAAUUAGAAAAUGUGCCAUCAGCAGAACAGAACAUGAGGGAAUUUCCAAGAGAGAAAGAAGCUGAGAUCAGAUUAAUGAUGAAACUCAAUAUCCAUUGCUGAGGAGCCGGCAAAGCUGGAGCCUUAUCUGGAAGUGAGGACCCGGUUUGCCCCCCAGAAUAAAGUCAGGGUGUAGCUGUAAAACAAGACAGAGAGCCGCAAGUGAUUGCUCCAUAGAAAUCAAAGCAAGGGCUCUGCUCAGCAACUGCAGCCAAAAUGAAGAGAGAGUGUCCCCAAAGCAGAGCCCAUGAAGGUGCUUGCCCUGGCUCAUCCCGCCUGUCUCCAUGUGCCUGGGGUUAGGGGUGCAGGGUUGCCAUGAUCAAUCGAAGUGGACAGUCCCUUCAGAAGGAAGGUUUACUUGUGUUACACAGCAAGAGUGAUCCGUCAAGACCACUGUUCCCAAGGAUGCUACACUCAGGACCCCCUUGCCAUCUAAAAAAUGCUUAAGGGCCCCACAGAGCUUUGAUUUCUAUGGAGCAAACCUACUGAUACAUAAUAGAAGUGAAAAAGAAGAAACAAAUUUUAAUAUUUAUACAUUUAUUUUAAAAUGAUAAAGCAUCACGUAAACAAAAAUAAUAUUUCUGAAAAUAGCUAUUUUUUUCUAAAAAUUGUUUAUUUAGUGAGAAGAGUGACAUUGUUUUAUAUUUUUAUAAAUCUCACCAAUGUCUGGCUUAAUAGACAGCUGCAUUUUCAUAUUUGCUUCUGAUUGCAAUCUGUUAUGAUAUCACACAUCAUGUAGACUCUGGAAAACUCUGCUGAGCACUCAUGAAAGAAAAAUGUCUUUGUAUUCCUAUUAGGUAGUUUUGAGUUUGUGGGUUCCUCUGAAAGAGUCUUAGGAACCCCCAGGGUCCAAGAGCCACACUUGAGAACCACUGUCCUGAGAUUCAUUUACAAAUGGGAUCAGACAAUCAAGAAUCCCUGUGUAUUUGAAAGAAAUCAACUGCUUGCUAAAGAAAUCAGACAAAGAGCUUCCAUUCUGGUUCAGUGGGUUAAGAAUCUGGCGUUGCUGCAGCUGUGGUUUGGUUUCAAUCCCUGGCCUGGUAACUUCCAUAUGCUGCAGGUACAACCAUAAAAAAAAGAGAAGGUGAAGGAAAAGAAGAGCCAGACAGACCCUGAAGAAAACAGGGUAAUGCAGGAACCAGAGAUUAUGUUAAAAUAAGUAUAAUUAAUAUCUUUUGAGAGGUUCAACCAGAUACAUUAGAACCAGUCAGAUGAUGAGUAGACACAGAAAACACACAAAAAUCAGUACUUUUUCCUAUAGACGUUAAUCACCAGGUAAGAGAUGGUAUUUGUAGUGGCAACAAAAAUCAUAAACAAUCCUGGUGGCUCAAUGGAUUAUGGAUACAGCACUGUCACUGUGGUGGCUCGGGUCACUGCAGUGGCAUGGAUUCUAUCCCUGGCCCUGGAACUUCUGUAUGCCAUGGGUAUGGACCCCCCUAAUAACAAAUAAUCCAGGUAUAAACCAAUUCUGGAAGACCUACAUAAACAGAGGCUUUAUAUUGUAUUAAAGAACAAAUAUGAGAGAUGUAUUUAUUAUGCUUCUUGCAAGAAGUCUCAGUAUUAUAAAAAUACUAUUAUAUUAUAUUUAUAGUUAUAAAAUACUGUUAGAUUUAUAUGAGUAGUUACAUGAGUUGCUCAGUAAACACCCCUCUGAAUUUAACUGGGUUAAGCUGGAUUUUUGUCAUGUGCAUCAAGAGCUGUACCUCAGAGGGAGUUCCCUGAUGGCCUAGUGAUUAAGGAUUCAGCAUUGUCACUGCUGUGCUCAAGUUCGAUCUCUGGCUCAGGAGCUUCUGCAUACUGUGUGUGGCAGGGACAAGCAAAAAUUAAAAAUAAAAAAAAAA
rnacentral:lncRNA from 1 species